GAUGAACGCUGGCGGCGUGCCUAAUACAUGCAAGUCGAGCGAACAGACGAGGAGCUUGCUCCUCUGACGUUAGCGGCGGACGGGUGAGUAACACGUGGAUAACCUACCUAUAAGACUGGGAUAACUUCGGGAAACCGGAGCUAAUACCGGAUAAUAUAUUGAACCGCAUGGUUCAAUAGUGAAAGACGGUUUUGCUGUCACUUAUAGAUGGAUCCGCGCCGCAUUAGCUAGUUGGUAAGGUAACGGCUUACCAAGGCAACGAUGCGUAGCCGACCUGAGAGAGUGAUCGGCCACACUGGAACUGAGACACGGUCCAGACUCCUACGGUAGGCAGCAGUAGGGAAUCUUCCGCAAUGGGCGAAAGCCUGACGGAGCAACGCCGCGUGAGUGAUGAAGGUCUUCGGAUCGUAAAACUCUGUUAUUAGGGAAGAACAAAUGUGUAAGUAACUAUGCACGUCUUGACGGUACCUAAUCAGAAAGCCACGGCUAACUACGUG
rnacentral:rRNA from 1 species